rnacentral:rRNA from 1 species
CAUGCGAGUCGCGAGAAUUAGAUUCUCGGCGUACCGCUCAGUAACACGUGGGUAACCUGCCCUAUGCUGGAUAAUAACCUCGGGAAACUGAGAAUAAUGAUCCAUAGUUCACUACGCCUGGAACGGUGAGUGGAUGAAAGCUCCGGCGGCAUAGGAUGGGCCUGCGGCGUAUCAGGUUGUAGGGGGUGUAACGUACCCUCUAGCCCUCUACGCGUACGGGUGUUGGGAGACAUAGCCCGGAGAUGGAUUCUGAGACACGAAUCCAGACCCUACGGGGUGCAGCAGGCGCGAAAACUUGGCAAUGCGAGAAAUCGUGACCAGGGAACUCCAAGUGCAUCGGGUAAGACCGGUGCUUUUCUUGACUCUAAAUAGGUCUUGGAAUAAGGGGUGGGUAAGGACGGUGCCAGCCGCCGCGGUAAUACCGGCGCCUCAAGUGGUAGUCGCUUUUAUUGGGCCUAAAAACGUUCCGGUAGCCGGUCCUGAUACAUUUCCUGGGGGUAAAAUCAAACCAGACUCCAACUUGGAUGAAUUUCUG